rnacentral:rRNA from 1 species
GACGUAGGGUGCGAGCGUUGUCCGGAUUUAUUGGGCGUAAAGAGCUCGUAGGCGGCUUGUUGCGUCGACUGUGAAAACCCGCGGCUUAACCGCGGGCUUGCAGUUGAUACGGGCAGGCUAGAGUUCGGUAGGGGAGACUGGAAUUCCUGGUGUAGCGGUGAAAUGCGCAGAUAUCAGGAGGAACACCGGUGGCGAAGGCGGGUCUCUGGGCCGAUACUGACGCUGAGGCGCGAUAGCGUGGGGAGCAAACAGG